CCCUCCGCGCUUGCGUGGACUGAAGACCCCUUGUAGACUACAAGGUUGAUAGGCCGGGUGUGUAAGUGCGGUGACGCAUUCAGCUAACCGGUACUAAUCGGUCGUGAGGCUUGACCACUUUC
rnacentral:rRNA from 1 species